rnacentral:rRNA from 1 species
CACUGGGACUGAGACACUGCCCAGACUCCUACGGGAGGCUGCAGUCGAGGAUCAUUCGCAAUGCGCGAAAGCGUGACGGUGCGACGCCGCGUGCAGGAUGAAGGCCUUCGGGCCGUAAACUGCUGUCAUGAGGGAACAAUGUCCGGGAUGUGAACAUCAUCUCGGGGUGAUAGUACCUCAAGAGGAAGCCACGGCUAACUCUGUGCCAGCAGCCGCGGUAAUACAGAGGCGGCGAGCGUUGUUCGGAUUUACUGGGCGUAAAGGGUGCGUAGGCGGUUCUGUGUGUCGGACGUGAAAUCUCACAGCUCAACUGUGGAAUUGCAUUUGAAACUACAGGGCUGGAGUACAGGAGAGGAGAGCGGAAUUCUCGGUGUAGCGGUGAAAUGCGUAGAUAUCGAGAGGAACACCGGUGGCGAAGGCGGCUCUCUGGACUGAUACUGACGCUGAGGCACGAAAGCUGGGGGAGCAAACAGGAUUAGAUACCCUGGUAGUCCCAGCCCUAAACGGUGUGCACUUGGUGUGGGGGGGAUUGUCCCUUCCUGUGCCGGAGCUAACGCGUUAAGUGCACCGCCUGGGGAGUACGGUCGCAAGAUUAAAACUCAAAGGAAUUGACGGGGGCCCGCACAAGCGGUGGAGCAUGUGGCUUAAUUCGAUCCACGCGAAGAACCUUACCUGGGCUUGACAUGCUGGUAGUAGAAACCUGAAAGGGUGACGAGCCCGCAAGGGAAGCCAGCACAGGUGCUGCAUGGCUGUCGUCAGCUCGUGCCGUGAGGUGUUAGGUUAAGUCCUGCAACGAGCGCAACCCCUGUGGUUAGUUGCUACAUUCGGUGAUGAAUCGGACAGCACUCUAAUCAGACUGCCUGUGAAAAGCAGGAGGAAGGUGGGGAUGACGUCAAGUCAGUAUGGUCCUUAUGUCCAGGGCUGCACACGUGCUACAAUGAUCGGUACAGAAGGAUGCAAGACCGCGAGGUGGAGCAAAUCCCCAAAACCGAUCUCAGUUCAGAUUGAAGGCUGCAACUCGCCUUCAUGAAGCUGGAAUCGCUAGUAAUGGCGCAUCAGCUACGGCGCCGUGAAUACGUUCCCGGGCCUUGUACACACCGCCCGUCACAUCAUGAGAGUCGACUGCACCCGAAGUCGUCUAUACAACCCGCAAGGGAGAAAGAUGCCGAAGGUGUGGUUGAUGAUUGGGAUGAAGUCGAAACAAGGUA